AUGGCCAUACCACAUUGAAAACACUGGUUCUCGUCCGAUCACCGAAGUUAAGCAAUGCCGGUCAGUACUUGGGAGGGUGACCAUCUGGGAACACCGGGUACUGUAGGCU